rnacentral:rRNA from 1 species
GAUGAACGCUGGCGGCGUGCCUAAUACAUGCAAGUCGAGCGAACAGACGAGGAGCUUGCUCCUCUGACGUUAGCGGCGGACGGGUGAGUAACACGUGGAUAACCUACCUAUAAGACUGGGAUAACUUCGGGAAACCGGAGCUAAUACCGGAUAAUAUAUUUAACCGCAUGGUUCAAUAGUGAAAGACGGUUUUGCUGUCACUUAUAGAUGGAUCCGCGCCGCAUUAGCUAGUUGGUAAGGUAACGGCUUACCAAGGCAACGAUGCGUAGCCGACCUGAGAGGGGGAUCGGCCACACUGGAACUGAGACACGGUACAGACUCCUAGGGGAGGAAGCAGUAGGGAAGCUUCCGAAAUGGGCGAAAGCCUGACGGAGCAACGCCGCGUGAGUGAUGAAGGGCUUCGGAUCGUAAAACGCUGUUAUUAGGGAAGAACAAAUGUGUAAGUAACGAUGCACGUCUGGACGGUACCUAAUCAGAAAGCCACGGCUAACUACGU